rnacentral:rRNA from 1 species
UUCGCAAUGCCCGAAAGGGUGACGAAGCGACGCCGCGUGUGGGAAGAAGGCCUUCGGGUUGUAAACCACUGUCGGGAGUUAGGAAAUGUAAGGGUGUUAAUAGUAUCCUUACUUGACUAAGGCUCCGGAGGAAGCCACGGCUAACUCUGUGCCAGCAGCCGCGGUAAUACAGAGGCGGCAAGCGUUGUUCGGAAUUAUUGGGCGUAAAGAGCACGUAGGCGGCCUUGUAAGUCAGUUGUGAAAGCCUUCUGCUUAACGGAAGAACAGCAGCUGAUACUGCAAGGCUAGAGUGCGGAAGGGGAGAGUGGAACUUCUGGUGGAGCGGUGAAAUGCGUAGAUAUCAGAAGGAACGCCGGCGGCGAAAGCGGCUCUCUGGCCCAUAACUGACGCUGAGUGUGCGAAAGCUAGGGGAGCAAACGGGAUUAGAUACCCCGGUAGUCCUAGCCGUAAACGAUGGGCACUAAGUAGAGGGGUUUU